rnacentral:lncRNA from 1 species
AGGCAAAAAGGAUGAAGAAAAGAAACCAUCAAUUACCGUCGUCCAGGGGCCAAAGCCUGGAAAACCCACUGAUCUUUCAAGGAUGCGCCAAAUAAUCUUGAAGCUGAAACACACACCUCCACCUCACAUGCUGCCACCUCCACCUGCACCUGUGAAGGACACGAAAGAUGGAAAGGAUGGAAAAGAUGCUAAAACUGGAAAAGGCGAAGCAUCAAAUGCAAGAGGGUCUGCAGUGCAGGAGCCUGUUGCAUCUGCCAAAGAUGCCAC